UACGGAGGGUGCAAGCGUUAUCCGGAUUUACUGGGUUUAAAGGGUGCGUAGGUGGGUAGGUAAGUCAGUGGUGAAAUCUUCAAGCUUAACUUGGAAACUGCCAUUGAUACUAUUUAUCUUGAAUACUUUGGAGGUAAGCGGAAUAUGUAGUGUAGCGGUGAAAUGCUUAGAGAUUACAUGGAAUACCAAUUGCGAAGGCAGGUUACUGCCAAUAUAUUGACGCUGAUGGACGAAAGCGUGGGGAGCGAACAGG
rnacentral:rRNA from 1 species